CAGCAGAGAGGAAUAUUGGUCAAUGGCCUAACGGCUGAACCAGCAACUUGCAGGAAUGAGAGUUAAUAUAAUAAGUUAUUAACUUGCUUGACUAGGUCUUAUAAAGUUCUGGAUAAAGCUUAUUAUGAAAACUUUAUAUCCAUAGGUCUCGACCAAAUCUUGUGCCAGCAGUCGCGGUAAGACAAGGGAGACGAGUGUUAUUCAUCUUUAACAGGUAUAUAGGGUACCUAGACGGUGUGCAAUGGCUUAAAUAAGUACCUGGUACACUUGAGUUUGAUAUGUGAGAGGAAUAUGUCGGAAUUGUUGGAGGAAAGAUGAAAUUUGUUAAUACCAAUAGGACUGAUAACGGCGAAGGCAAACCUCUAUGUACAUGUACUUGCUAUUUCUGUUUAUUUUUUUUUCCAUAGAAAAAAAAAGAAACUAAAAAAAGAAAUUUCUCUUAUAAAAGAUAUCAGAUAGAUAAAGAGGAAAAGAGCAAUGUACUAUAACUGACGUUGAGGGACGAAGGCUCAGAGAGUGAAGAGGAUUAGAUACCCCCGUAACCUGGGCAGACAAUGAUGAGUGCCAUAGGUUGGCUUUAAGGCGGAACUAUAAAUGAAAGUGGAAGCACUCCACCUCAAGAGUAAUGUGGCAACGCAGGAACUGAAAUCAUUAGACCGUUUCUGAAACCAGUAGUGAAGUAUGUUAUUUAAUUCGAUCAUCCGC
rnacentral:rRNA from 1 species